AGGACGAACGCUGGCGGCGUGCUUAACACAUGCAAGUCGAGCGGAAAGGCCCUUCGGGGUACUCGAGCGGCGAACGGGUGAGUAACACGUGGGCAACCUGCCCCUAGCUCUGGGAUAACUCCGGGAAACCGGUGCUAAUACCGGAUAUGACCUCAUUUGGCAUCCUUUGAGGUGGAAAGAUUUAUUGGCUAGGGAUGGGCCCGCGGCCUAUCAGCUUGUUGGUGGGGUAAUGGCCUACCAAGGCGACGACGGGUAGCCGGCCUGAGAGGGCGACCGGCCACACUGGGACUGAGACACGGCUCAGACUCCUACGGGAGGCAGCAGUGGGGAAUAUUGCGCAAUGGGCGAAAGCCUGACGCAGCGACGCCGCGUGGGGGAUGAAGGCCUUCGGGUUGUAAACCCCUUUCAGCAGGACGAAGCGAAAGUGACGGUACCUGCAGAAGAAGCGCCGGCUAACUACGCGCCAGCAGCCGC
rnacentral:rRNA from 1 species